rnacentral:rRNA from 2 species
AAAUUGAAGAGUUUGAUCAUGGCUCAGAUUGAACGCUGGCGGCAGGCCUAACACAUGCAAGUCGAACGGUAACAGGAAGCAGCUUGCUGCUUUGCUGACGAGUGGCGGACGGGUGAGUAAUGUCUGGGAAACUGCCUGAUGGAGGGGGAUAACUACUGGAAACGGUGGCUAAUACCGCAUAACGUCGCAAGACCAAAGAGGGGGACCUUCGGGCCUCUUGCCAUCAGAUGUGCCCAGAUGGGAUUAGCUUGUUGGUGAGGUAACGGCUCACCAAGGCGACGAUCCCUAGCUGGUCUGAGAGGAUGACCAGCCACACUGGAACUGAGACACGGUCCAGACUCCUACGGGAGGCAGCAGUGGGGAAUAUUGCACAAUGGGCGCAAGCCUGAUGCAGCCAUGCCGCGUGUAUGAAGAAGGCCUUCGGGUUGUAAAGUACUUUCAGCGGGGAGGAAGGUGUUGUGGUUAAUAACCGCAGCAAUUGACGUUACCCGCAGAAGAAGCACCGGCUAACUCCGUGCCAGCAGCCGCGGUAAUACGGAGGGUGCAAGCGUUAAUCGGAAUUACUGGGCGUAAAGCGCACGCAGGCGGUCUGUCAAGUCGGAUGUGAAAUCCCCGGGCUCAACCUGGGAACUGCAUUCGAAACUGGCAGGCUUGAGUCUUGUAGAGGGGGGUAGAAUUCCAGGUGUAGCGGUGAAAUGCGUAGAGAUCUGGAGGAAUACCGGUGGCGAAGGCGGCCCCCUGGACAAAGACUGACGCUCAGGUGCGAAAGCGUGGGGAGCAAACAGGAUUAGAUACCCUGGUAGUCCACGCCGUAAACGAUGUCUACUUGGAGGUUGUGCCCUUGAGGCGUGGCUUCCGGAGCUAACGCGUUAAGUAGACCGCCUGGGGAGUACGGCCGCAAGGUUAAAACUCAAAUGAAUUGACGGGGGCCCGCACAAGCGGUGGAGCAUGUGGUUUAAUUCGAUGCAACGCGAAGAACCUUACCUGGUCUUGACAUCCACGGAAGAAUUCAGAGAUGGAUUUGUGCCUUCGGGAACCGUGAGACAGGUGCUGCAUGGCUGUCGUCAGCUCGUGUUGUGAAAUGUUGGGUUAAGUCCCGCAACGAGCGCAACCCUUAUCCUUUGUUGCCAGCGAUUCGGUCGGGAACUCAAAGGAGACUGCCAGUGAUAAACUGGAGGAAGGUGGGGAUGACGUCAAGUCAUCAUGGCCCUUACGACCAGGGCUACACACGUGCUACAAUGGCGCAUACAAAGAGAAGCGACCUCGCGAGAGCAAGCGGACCUCAUAAAGUGCGUCGUAGUCCGGAUUGGAGUCUGCAACUCGACUCCAUGAAGUCGGAAUCGCUAGUAAUCGUGGAUCAGAAUGCCACGGUGAAUACGUUCCCGGGCCUUGUACACACCGCCCGUCACACCAUGGGAGUGGGUUGCAAAAGAAGUAGGUAGCUUAACCUUCGGGAGGGCGCUUACCACUUUGUGAUUCAUGACUGGGGUGAAGUCGUAACAAGGUAACCGUAGGGGAACCUGCGGUUGGAUCACCUCCUUACCUUAAAGAAGC